rnacentral:lncRNA from 1 species
UGAAUUUGGUUUUUUUUUUUUUAAUGCUUAUUGCUCUUCUACAGUUCUAUUAUAUGAUUUUCUUUAGUCCUUUCCUUAUAUUAAAAAGUAAAAGAGAAAAAGGAAAUAUGGGUUAUGGCUACUUUUUCCAUUUGGUAUGCUUCUCUUUUUUAUUAAUAUAUUUUCACUAUAAUGUUUUUUGAAUUACACCAUUUGUACUAUUAAAACUCGUAAGUUGUAUGUACGGGUUAUAUUUUGAUUGGGGAAAAUUUCGUACAGAAUCCUAAUUCUUCGUAUUAUUUCAUAGUAGGCCUUCUUUCUGUUUUUCUUUCAAGUAGCAUAAAGAAAUCCCUAAGGAUUUCACUGUACCCCAUCAUCUCUUAUCUCCAUCUUUUAUAAAAUUUUGACUACAAAAAUU